rnacentral:rRNA from 1 species
AGUGAACGCUGGCGGUAGGCCUAACACAUGCAAGUCGAACGGCAGCACAGUAAGAGCUUGCUCUUACGGGUGGCGAGUGGCGGACGGGUGAGGAAUACAUCGGAAUCUACUUUUUCGUGGGGGUUAACGUAGGGAAACUUACGCUAAUACCGCAUACGACCUACGGGUGAGAGCAGGGGAUCUUCGGACCUUGCGCGAUUGAAUGAGCCGAUGUCGGAUUAGCUAGUUGGCGGGGUAAAGGCCCACCAAGGCGACGAUCCGUAGCUGGUCUGAGAGGAUGAUCAGCCACACUGGAACUGAGACACGGUCCAGACUCCUACGGGAGGCAGCAGUGGGGAAUAUUGGACAAUGGGCGCAAGCCUGAUCCAGCCAUACCGCGUGGGUGAAGAAGGCCUUCGGGUUGUAAAGCCCUUUUGUUGGGAAAGAAAAGCAGCAGGUUAAUACCCCGCUGUUCUGACGGUACCCAAAGAAUAAGCACCGGCUAACUUCGUG